rnacentral:rRNA from 1 species
AUUGAACGCUGGCGGCAUGCCUUACACAUGCAAGUCGAACGGCAGCGGACCUUCGGGUGCCGGCGAGUGGCGAACGGGUGAGUAAUAUAUCGGAACGUACCUUUCAGUGGGGGAUAACGUAGCGAAAGUUACGCUAAUACCGCAUAUUCUGUGAGCAGGAAAGCAGGGGAUCGCAAGACCUUGCGCUGAUUGAGCGGCCGAUAUCAGAUUAGCUAGUUGGUGAGGUAAAGGCUCACCAAGGCGACGAUCUGUAGCGGGUCUGAGAGGAUGAUCCGCCACACUGGAACUGAGACACGGUCCAGACUCCUACGGGAGGCAGCAGUGGGGAAUUUUGGACAAUGGGCGCAAGCCUGAUCCAGCCAUGCCGCGUGAGUGAAGAAGGUCUUCGGGUUGUAAAGCACUUUCAGUUGGGAGGAAAAGUUUGUGGUUAAUACCCACGAGCCGUGACGUUACCAACAGAAGAAGCACCGGCGUAACUCCGUGCCAGCA